rnacentral:tRNA from 1 species
GGUGGUUCAGUGGUAGAGUGCUUGCCUUGCAUGCAUGAGGCCCUGGGUUCAAUUCCUAAGCACCA